AACGAACGCUGGCGGCAGGCCUAACACAUGCAAGUCGAGCGAGACCUUCGGGUCUAGCGGCGGACGGGUUAGUAACGCGUGGGAACGUGCCCUUCUCUGCGGAAUAGCCACUGGAAACGGUGAGUAAUACCGCAUACGCCCUUCGGGGGAAAGAUUUAUCGGAGAAGGAUCGGCCCGCGUUAGAUUAGAUAGUUGGUGGGGUAACGGCCUACCAAGUCUACGAUCUAUAGCUGGUUUUAGAGGAUGAUCAGCAACACUGGGACUGAGACACGGCCCAAACUCCUACGGGAGGCAGCAGUGGGGAAUCUUCUGCAAUGGGCGCAAGCCUGACAGAGCGGCGUCAUGUGAAGGAAGAAGGCCUGAAAUAGGUUGUAAACUUCUUUUACUGAGUAAUGAAUACUGACAACGCAGUAAAAAAGUAUCGGCUAACUCCGUGCCAGCCGCCGCCGUAAAAC
rnacentral:rRNA from 1 species